UAGAAGUGAUAAUGUUAAAAUUAGUAAUAAGAGACCACAGCCUCUCUCCCAGCACAAGUGUAAAUCAGAUCGGACACACCACUGAUAAUUAAACAGACCGAAUAAAUGGAGGAAAAACAAAAACAACCCAGAUAACAAGAAAAAAAUGUAUAACAGACUGUUAACCCAACACAGGAGUGCCACAAGGAAAGACUCAAAGGAGAAGAAGGAACUCGGCAAACAUGAACCCCGCCUGUUUACCAAAAACAUCGCCUCUUGCCAACAAUGGAAGUAUUAGAGGUCCCGCCUGCCCUGUGACCACAGUGUUUAACGGCCGCGGUAUCCUGACCGUGCGAAGGUAGCGUAAUCACUUGUCUUUUAAAUGGAGACCUGUAUGAAUGGCAUAACGAGGGUUUAACUGUCUCCUUCCCCAAGUCAAUGAAAUUGAUCUGUCCGUGCAGAAGCGGACAUAAUAACAUAAGACGAGAAGACCCUAUGGAGCUUUAGGCAAAGGACCAUGCAUGUAAAGAAAACACAACUAAUCGAAAGAGACUAAACAAUGUAAAACCAAGUACAAAUGGUACAAAUGCCUUCGGUUGGGGCGACCAUGGGGGAAAAUAAAGCCCCCGAGUGGAAAGGAGCAAUCCUAAGCCAAGAAAGACAUUUCUAAGCAACAGAACAUCUGACCAUCAAUGACCCAGACAAACAAAUCUGAUCAACGAACCAAGUUACCCUAGGGAUAACAGCGCAAUCCUUUCCCAGAGUCCAUAUCGACGAAAGGGUUUACGACCUCGAUGUUGGAUCAGGACAUCCUAAUGGUGCAGAAGCUAUUAAGGGUUCGUUUGUUCAACGAUUAACAGUCCUACGUGAUCUGAGUUCAGACCGGAGUAAUCCAGGUCGGUUUCUAUCUAUGACUACACUUCUUCCUAGUACGAAAGGACCGGAAAAAGGGGGCCAAUAUUAAAAACAAGCCCCAUCUCUACCUGCUGAAAACAAAUAAAACAG
rnacentral:rRNA from 1 species